UUUGUCUAAUUCAUAACAUAAUCAUAGAAUCAUAGAAUCAUAGAAUAUCCCAGUUGGAAGGGACCCAUAAGGAUCAUCAAGUCCAACUCCUCGCACCACCCAAUAGUUCAGACCAUGUGAAUAAGUGCACAGUCCAAUCUCUUAAAUUCAUUCAGACAGGCUCAGUGAAGUGACUACUUCACUGGGGUGCCUGUUCCAGUUCACAACCACCCUCUCGGUGAAGAACCUCCUCCUGACGUUCAGUCUAAAC